rnacentral:lncRNA from 1 species
GUGGAGACCCGGACUGGCGCCGGCGCCAGCUGGAGGGAGACGCCCCCGGGCAAGAGCUUACGAUUCUUCAUCAACUCGUAAAAUGAGAUCGCCGCGGAGCUCGAGCCUAUUUGGCGUCUCCGGAGACUAGCAAGACCCUCUGAAAGACACCGCGUCCCCAGGGAUAAUCCCCCGUGUCCGGCAAAGCUGCCCCGCUCGAGCGCGAACCCUGGGACCCAGCGCGGGAGGCAGACCAGCAGCUGGCCGCUGGGCUGUGAACGCCAGGACCGAGCGGAAGCUUCCCGCCCGGCCGCGAUCGGUGCCGCGGCUCUCAGGGAAGUGGCUACGCGCGUCCCUCGGGAAAGCAGAUUAUCGGAGCCCUUUCAGAGAGCGCACAACAAAUGCGCCCGCCAUCGAAUGCAUCAUUUACCACCGCAGAUCCGAGCGCUGAUGGGCAGGCAGAUAGCCCUCUGCUGGGGGCACGCGGGCUCCCCGUGCCCGUACCACUCGCCUGCCUGCCGGGGCCACUGAGUGUGCGCCCCGGUGUGCCCG